rfam:Myotis brandtii contig306931, whole genome shotgun sequence.
GCCCGGGUAGCUCAGCUGGUUAGAGCAUUGUCCUGAUACGCCAAGGUUGUGGUUUCGAUCCCGGUCAGGGCA